UCGGUUGCGAUGUGCGGACUUAACUUAUUAGACGUGAAAAUAGGAUUAAUGGAAAAGUUAAUAAAGUGAGAGGCUGAGAUUUGGAUUCCGGGAUUGGAACCCGUGGUGAUAUAUUGUUUGGAGAUUGAUUGGUGGUGAAUUUGUGAAUUGUUGGUUUACGAAACCCUGGGUACGGCAUGGUGGUGGUCGGCUCUUGGAUGCUGGGAUGGGACAUAAGGGUGGCAUUGUGCUUGCGUCACAACCCGGGCUAGACGGCGCUUGAGCGUUGCCGGUGAAGUUUUAUCCGAACUUAUGGUCGCGGAUGGGAUAUCGGGUAUAUAACUUAGGUAUCUUUCAUCCGGAUCUGGAAAAGGGGAGUCGGACCACACCAGUGUUUGUGCCAGAGGUUAUGGGUAGGAACGGAUCUGUGGAUAAGAUCCGAGAUUUCACUUAGGUUGAAGAAUAGUAAUAAAAUGAUUAAUUGUUCUCUCUUUAUGUUAUGUCAAUGCGCUUCAAUUAUAUUUUCUUGCUGCUUGUAAGUUAUGGGUUCGGGUGGGUUUUGGCUAUUGAGCGUCAUCGCUCACGGUACUAUGUUGCCCUGGUAACUCGAACGCCAGGUACCGAAGAUGGAACAGAAGUGUCGUACGAUUCGAUCGAGUUAAAUCCUAACGAGGAAGAAGCUGAAAACCUUGGUUUCCGUGCGCAUAGUCGCUCUGAUUAAUUUAAGUCUACUUUAUUUUGGAAGCUUCUAAGUUUAUUUGGAUAUUGUAAUAUUUUGAUUUAUUCGAAACGGUUGUAAAAUAAUGACAUUUGCUUUUGAAAUGGUGACGCAGUAAAUCUAUGAAUUUCUUUUGUGGAAAUAAUCUUUUCAUUAUUAUUUUUAAUGUCUUCGAAUUUUCGGGGCGUUACAAAUGGUAUCAGAGCUUUAGGUUCAAACCCUCGGCCUUGGGUAGAUUGGGUAGAACAUUUUCCAAGAGAGUUUUCCAGGGUAGUUAUGCGCUUAAUCUACCUAUUGUCUUAGCUACUGUACGAUAUUUUUUUAUUAUUAUAAGAGUAGCAUAUAAACAUGUCUUGUCGCCCGAAGCAACUCCGUUAAAGUACUGAAGUCAACGACUUCAAGAAAGAGAUAGAAGAACUCGCUCCUAUUGUAGAUAUAGAGUAGAUAGUUCGAAGGCGAGACGAUAGACCUUGACAAUGUUGGGAGGAAGAGACUGACACCAAAGAAGACGCUAUCUAGAAGAUUGAAUACCCGCCGAAAAAGGGUUUUCCCUUCCCGUCGAGACUAUGUUCAGAGAUAGGUUGGAAAGGGUAGGGACAUUGUGUGAACGUACCGUGAGAAAAUUUAAGUCUUGCUCAUAUGACUAGCAGUUAGGGCUAAUUAUAGUAAGCAUGCAUGUCUGGCCCUUGUGGCACUCUAUGAAUAGGUACUUUCAAUAGUUUUUGUUCAAUUUAUGUUUAAAAAAAAAGAGGAACUUUUCAAAAGUUGUUUUAUUUUUGCAAUUUCAAAAUCCUUGCCAGUCAUAAUUAGAAACCCCUAACCCUAACUUCACACAAACACUAUUGUCGAUGCCGCCCACGUAUCAACAUGUUUACACCAAUCUCGAGGUCAACGCAACACGAAGUUCAAUGAGAUAUCGAGUAACAUGGAGGUUAUGCAACUUCUACAAGCGAUUGCCAGAUCGACUAUUUUGACACUCCAACCUCCAGCGUCAUACACCCCUCGAGAAAGUAGAUAGAUUGACGAAUAAAAACAUGAUGUUGUCAGAGAUUCGAAAUCAUCAUCCAGCUAUAUACUAUGCAAACUGAAUUCAACGACGGCACCAUCAUAGUUCAAACAGACCAGGAAGAGCUCAAGGUCGUGAAUAUCUGAGAAAGCGGCAGCCAUUCUCUUGCAAUGAAGUUCUAUUUUUGUUUUAAGGGGGAUAGACGAGCUAUUGACGAUUAUUCAUCUAAGUCUCCAUUCUCAUUCAAUCGAUUGUAUCCUAACUGUCCGCUACCUCCAAUCUCUCUUGGCUAUCACCUUCAUUAUGGCUCUCCAUUGUUAGAGCUGCAACUUCAACUAAAGCUCAAAUCGUUGAACCCCCUGUCUAAUCCAAGCACCUAACUCUCGUGACAUUUUCUUUUGUGAGUUGGGUACUCCUAAACAUUAUUUUGUUCCAACCUUUCUUAAUUUGAUUUGAAGUCAAUAAUUUACUCAAUUAUGAGUAUAACCUUUCUGAUCCAUUGAAUAUUGCAUGUUUAGAGCAAUCCUUGUUUUUUUUUUUUUUCCAGCUCACUAUUAGCCGUCCACAACCUUCAAUUCCUUUGAUAUCACAACAAGACAUGUGUCCGACCUUACAAAACUCUAAUUCCGUAAGCGUAGUUCAAUUUUCAAUGUUGGAGUUGUCAAAUCCUUGGACGAACAUAUUAUUGUUAUGCUUCACUUUCCUGGAGCUUUGUAUCAUGCCUUAAGCUAGUAAGAUCCAAUCAUCAUUCUAUUGGUGACUAUUUCUAUUUUUUUGGAUUCGAAAGUCAUCGUUUACUCUUCACUUGUGCCCUUUAUUUUCCUUUCUUUUAAAUAACUAGAGUUAGAUGUUUGUUUUGGAAACGCAUUUGGCCAAUGUGGUGCAAAAUAAAUAUCUAGUUCGGUUUCAUCGUUGGACCUCGUAAUCCUUCAAAACCUAUCGAUAGAUUGAUAUUUCUUAUGAGAACCCUUGUUAAUUCAUUCCAUUGCAAUGUUUGGUAGACCAAGUACUUGUUUGUUUCACCCGCAUGUUAAAUCUUUAAUCAGAACUAUUACAAUGAUGAAACUCUUCCUCCAAAUCAUUGAGUUCACUUCAGCUAACUUGAUCCUCAUUCUCAUCGUGUUCCGACUCCCACUCAAAACUAUUUGCACCUCGACUCGUGGAGGGGGAUCUAUUCAUGCCCUCUAUUUGGUUCUAUGAUCUUUGGACAUUUGACUUGUACUUGAAAUCUCUUGAAAAUUCUUGCAAUCUUUUCAUUUCUUUUGGAGUAUAGUACCAUCCAUCGACUAGGAGACAAGAACCAAACUUUCAAGAACAGACUAAGGAAGGAGAUACGUUGGCGACUCCCGAUCACUCAAAGCCAAUAAAAGAGCUACGCCGACAAGAGGAUGAGACCGUGGACUUUCAGCGUACUUUUUAUUCAAACCGCGCCGUGGGAUCAUCCAAUUUGGCAAGAAAGGAAAGUAUCGCCUCGCUACAUUGGUCCGUUCGAGAUCUUGGAGCAAAUUGGCAAAGUAGCCUAUCGCCUAGCUUUACCGUUGCAGAUCGCCAAAGUUUCACAACAUUUUUCACACCUCCAUGCUAUGGAAAUAUAUGGCCCAUCCCUACCUACUUGUUCAACUGGGAGGAAGUCACACUGAAUGAGGGUACGACUUUUGAAGAGCAAUUGGUGGAAAUUCUUGAUCGUGCAGAAAAAGUUACUCAAGGCGAACAAUUAAACUAGCCAGAGUCUUAUGGAGGCACCGAGAACGGGAAGAAUAAACUUGGGAAUGUGAGGACACGAGGAAAGCCAACUAUCUGCAACUGUUUCAAAUCGAAGGUACGGCUUAAUUUCGAGGACGAAAUUGUUUUAAGGGGGAUAGAUUGUAAAGACCUGUAUUUUUUAAUAAAUAAUAAUUAUUAUCAAAACAAAAAUAAUAUUUUUGUUCGAAAAAAAAAAAAUUAUUUAUUCCGGCACACCAAAUUUUAUUCUGUAAUUGAUUGAAUGUGCGUGUGUCCAGCGAGUAAUUUUAGUAGCGUGUGCGUGUGCGUGUGUUGUUCCGGAACAAACCCUCACCUUUUCCUUCAAAAUAUUCGGCUGAGAGAGGAGAGACCAAAUCCCCUUUUCCCUCCCUAUUUUCCUCUAGUGUUGACAACUCAUUUUUAACCAUUGGGUAUUAGCCCCCGUGCAAAACUAAACCCAAGUUUAUAUCCGCCUUCUCCAUUUCAUUUUCUGGUUCCCAGGCUAUACACAUUUCGGCAGAUAGAGAGGGAGAGAAAUUUCAGCCGGCCACCACUCCUCCAUUCUCCAACCCCAGCCGUGUACCUCCAUCACCACCCCGAGCAUCACCACCGUAGUCCAUCUCUUCACCACCGGAAUCCGACCGCCGCCGUACAUUCCAAUCACUACCGUACAUCGUCAUCUCCAUUAACCGGGUCACCACCAACCGAGUUCUACCGCCGCUCCGACCCGCCACCGAAUCUCUCCGAAAAUUUUUUCGCCGGACGAGAGGUACCGAAGAUGGAACAGAAGUGUCGUACGAUUCGAUCGAGUUAAAUCCUAACGAGGAAGAAGCUGAAAACCUUGGUUUCCGUGCGCAUAGUCGCUCUGAUUAAUUUAAGUCUACUUUAUUUUGGAAGCUUCUAAGUUUAUUUGGAUAUUGUAAUAUUUUGAUUUAUUCGAAACGGUUGUAAAAUAAUGACAUUUGCUUUUGAAAUGGUGACGCAGUAAAUCUAUGAAUUUCUUUUGUGGAAA